GACGAACGCUGGCGGCGUGCUUAACACAUGCAAGUCGAACGGAAAGGCCCUGCUUUUGUGGGGUGCUCGAGUGGCGAACGGGUGAGUAACACGUGAGUAACCUGCCCUUGACUUUGGGAUAACUUCAGGAAACUGGGGCUAAUACCGGAUAGGAGCUCCUGCUGCAUGGUGGGGGUUGGAAAGUUUCGGCGGUUGGGGAUGGACUCGCGGCUUAUCAGCUUGUUGGGGGGGUAGUGGCUUACCAAGGUUUUGACGGGUAGCCGGCCUGAGAGGGUGACCGGCCACAUUGGGACUGAGAUACGGCCCAGACUCCUACGGGAGGCAGCAGUGGGGAAUAUUGCACAAUGGGCGGAAGCCUGAUGCAGCAACGCCGCGUGCGGGAUGACGGCCUUCGGGUUGUAAACCGCUUUCGCCUGUGACGAAGCGUGAGUGACGGUAAUGGGUAAAGAAGCACCGGCUAACUACGUG
rnacentral:rRNA from 1 species